AGUCUUUGGGUAAGGAGCUCCAACUUUCAGCACGAGAGUGAUAGGUGAUAGUAUUGGGAAAAACGAAAAGGAAUAUGUGAUCGUAAUUAAAAUGUCAGUGGAUAAAAAUAAGGCCCUUGGAGUACCCUGUGGGAAAUCAGGAGCCACUUCCUCCUGGAUGCUUUAUGUAGCACAUUAUACUGACCUAUUAAAUAAUGAGAAUCAGGCUGGGCAUGGUGGCUCAUACCUGUAACCCCAGCACUUUGGGAGGCUGAGGUGGGAGGAUCACAUGAGGCCAGGAGUUUGGGACCAGCAUGGACAACAUAGCAAGACCCCAUCGCUACAAAAAAAAUAAAAAUAUAAAUUAGCCAGGCAUGGUGGCACAUGACUGUGGUCCUAGCUACAUGGGACACUGAGACAGGAGGACUGCUUGAGCCCAGGAGUUUAUGGUUACAGUGGGCUAUGAUUGCACCGCUACACUCCAGCAGGAGCAACAGAGUGAGACCCUACCUCUGAAAAAAUAAUAAUAAGAAGAAUCACAUGGAUGAAGCAAAUGAUGAUAACCA
rnacentral:lncRNA from 1 species